UUGGAGGGCAAGUCUGGUGCCAGCAGCCGCGGUAAUUCCAGCUCCAAUAGCGUAUAUUAAAGUUGUUGCAGUUAAAAAGCUCGUAGUUGAAUUUCGGGAUCAAUAUAUCGGUCGUGCCAUCGGUACGUACUGGUAUGAUUGGUUUCUCCUUUCUGACGAACCAUGACGUCAUUAAUUUGGUGUUAUGGGAAGUUAGGACUGUUACUUUGAAAAAAUUAGAGUGUUUAAAGCAGGCUUUAGCUUGAAUACAUUAGCAUGGAAUAAUGAAAUAGGACGUUCGAACCUAUUUUGUUGGUUUCUAGGAUCAACGUAAUGAUUAAUAGGGAUAGUUGGGGGCAUUAGUAUUCAAUUGUCAGAGGUGAAAUUCUUGGAUUUAUUGAAGACUAACUACUGCGAAAGCAUUUGCCAAGGAUGUUUUCAUUAAUCAAGAACGAAAGUUAGGGGAUCGAAGACGAUCAGAUACCGUCGUAGUCUUAACCAUAAACUAUGCCGACUAGGGAUCGGAUGAUGUUAAUUUUUUAAUGACUCAUUCGGCGCCUUACGGGAAAC
rnacentral:rRNA from 1 species